GUCAGCACCCCGCACUGAAGUGACGGGGCUUCGUGCCUCUAACUUCAGUUAGUUGACCAGCCUAAGUCUUAACUGACUACGUUUUUUGAGUCAUGACACCCUGUUGGAUGCGAUAGCGAAGCGUGGCGUCAGCCAUAGCUAGUCCCUGGCUCUGUC
rnacentral:sRNA from 2 species